rnacentral:tRNA from 1 species
GGGGUUGUGGCUCAGUGGUAGAGCACUCACCUAGCACAUGUGAGAUCCUGGGUUUAAUCCUCAGCACCACA